AUUGAACGCUGGCGGCAGGCUUAACACAUGCAAGUCGAGCGGUAGCACAGGGGAGCUUGCUCCCUGGGUGACGAGCGGCGGACGGGCGAGUAAUGUCUGGGAAACUGCCUGAUGGAGGGGGAUAACUACUGGAAACGGUAGCUAAUACCGCAUAACGUCGCAAGACCAAAGAGGGGGACCUUCGGGCCUCUUGCCAUCAGAUGUGCCCAGAUGGGAUUAGCUAGUAGGUGGGGUAAUGGCUCACCUAGGCGACGAUCCCUAGCUGGUCUGAGAGGAUGACCAGCCACACUGGAACUGAGACACGGUCCAGACUCCUACGGGAGGCAGCAGUGGGGAAUAUUGCACAAUGGGCGCAAGCCUGAUGCAGCCAUGCCGCGUGUGUGAAGAAGGCCUUCGGGUUGUAAAGCACUUUCAGCGAGGAGGAAGGUGGUGAGCUUAAUACGUUCAUCAAUUGACGUUACUCGCAGAAGAAGCACCGGCUAACUCCGUG
rnacentral:rRNA from 1 species